rnacentral:rRNA from 1 species
GAUGAACGCUAGCGAUAGGCUUAACACAUGCAAGUCGAGGGGCAUCACAUGAGUAGCAAUACGAUGGUGGCGACCGGCGCACGGGUGAGUAACACGUAUGCAACCUGCCCAUAACUGGGGAAUAACCCGUCGAAAGGCGGACUAGUACCGCAUAACAAUGAUUGUCUGCAUGGAAGAUUAUUUAAAGAUUUAUUGGUUAUGGAUGGGCAUGCUUACCAUUAGAUAGUUGGUAGGGGAAGGGCCUACCAAGUCUACGACGGAUAGGGGUUAGGAGAGGAAGGUACCCCACACUGGUACUGAGACACGGACCAGACUCCUACGGGAGGCAGCAGUGAGGAAUAUUGGUCAAUGGUCGAGAGACUGAACCAGCCAAAUCGCGUGAAGGAUGAAGGUAUUAUGUAUUGUAAACUUCUUUUGUCAGGGAAUAAAGUGCAUCACGUGUGAUGUUUUGUAUGUAACUGAAGAAUAAGGAUCGGCUAACUCCGUGCCAGCAGCCGCCGUAAAAC